ACUGAACCCGGAACCAUGUGGUUGGGAAGGAAGCUUUUUACCACACAGCCAUUCCUAUUGAGGAGGCCAAAUGUCAACAAUGUGCUGAAGUAUCGAAUCAAAAGGAUCUCUUUUAAUCCAACCUCUUGUCGCCACGUAAACUCAACUUUUUAGUGGGGAGAUAACCCAAUUUUUUUAUGGCAAAAAGUACCAAAAAGUACUGACGUUUCAAUUAUGUCGUCACCAUCUCGUCUUUUCGUUUGCCUAUGAUUACAUUAUUCAAUAUUUCCUUGUCCUUUUUUUUGUUUUUGUACGACAGCAGAGUAAAAUUUGAUGGAGAUUUGACUAUUGUUUUCAGCCAGUCGAUAGUCAACACUGAUACUCCCAACUUGGCUUGAAUUCAUAGAGCUUUGUAGAGGUUUAUUGCAAAUUAUACAGACCAUUAUUCCGUAAUGCACGUAGAAGUAACCAGUGGUUGUUAGUUGUUAUACAAGACAGACAUCAACAAAAGCUGAAUUUUGACGUCGACGACGUGUCAGCGUUCACUCGGGCAAAGACACGUAAACAGUCAGUGGUUUGCAUAUGAAGUGGAAGUUUGAACUUUUCAACCCUGAGGUAUCUUAGU